AUACGUAGGGUGCGAGCGUUAAUCGGAAUUACUGGGCGUAAAGCGUGCGCAGGCGGUUUCGUUAAGACAGAGGUGAAAUCCCCGGGCUCAACCUGGGAACUGCCUUUGUGACUGCAAGGCUAGAGUGCGGCAGAGGGGGAUGGAAUUCCGCGUGUAGCAGUGAAAUGCGUAGAUAUGCGGAGGAACACCGAUGGCGAAGGCAAUCCCCUGGGCCUGCACUGACGCUCAUGCACGAAAGCGUGGGGAGC
rnacentral:rRNA from 1 species